rnacentral:rRNA from 1 species
UGGGGAAUCUUGCACAAUGGGCGCAAGCCUGAUGCAGCCAUGCUGCGUGAGUGAAGAAGGCCCUAGGGUUGUAAAACUCUUUCAGCGGGGAAGAUAAUGACGGUACCCGCAGAAGAAGCCCCGGCUAACUCCGUGCCAGCAGCCGCGGUAAUACGGAGGGGGCUAGCGUUGUUCGGAAUCACUGGGCGUAAAGCGCACGUAGGCGGAUCAGUCAGUCAGGGGUGAAAGCCCGGGGCUCAACCUCGGAACUGCCCUUGAUACUGCUGAUCUUGAGAUCGAGAGAGGUGAGUGGAAUUCCUAGUGUAGAGGUGAAAUUCGUAGAUAUUAGGAAGAACACCGGUGGCGAAGGCGGCCAUCUGGUCCGGUACUGACGCUGAGGCGCGAAAGCGUGGGGAGCAAACAGGAUUAGAUACCCCUGUAGUCC